UUGCGCCUGCGCGGGUGCCUCGGUUGCCAUGGUGACAGGACGCGGAACGUUCGAGCCGGUCUCGAGCCCAGCAGCAGUGAAGCCGAGAGGGGCGCGAGGAGCCCCGGCUCGCGGCCAUGACGGGCAUCCUCUGUGAUUGGCUGAACCGAGAAGUGAAGAUCUCGCGCACAGUGGAUAAGGAGUCUUUCUCCAGAGAAUUUUCUUCUGGUUAUCUCAUUGGAGAACUUCUUAACAAGUUUGAACUUCAAGAAGACUUUGAUCAAUUUUCACAAAGCAGGGUUGCUAGUGCAAAGCUUAACAAUUUUUCUCGGAUGGAGCCCACCCUUCAACUUUUGAAAGUGCAAUUUGACCAAAAUGUAGCCCGAAACAUCAUGACAGAGCAGCAUGGAGCUGCCACCAAACUCAUAUACCAAUUAUAUGUGGCUCUGGAGAAGAAGAAGAAAGCAGGACUCACUGGGGUUGCCAUGGAUGCAAUGAGACCCUCAGCACAUGCAAAGCUCAGAAGUGUAGGAACAGAGAUGUAUCGAGAGCGCCUUAAAAGCCUGGUACCACGGCAGACAGAACUGACACUUCUGCAGAUUUCAGACAGCUUUCAUAAAAAAGCCGAUAACCUGGAAAGUAAAAUAUAUUAUAUGGAAUUGGCAAAUCAAGAGAAAGCAAAGAAAAUCCAGGGGAGAAAAGCAGAAGACAUGGAAAAGAAAAUUUUAGAAAAACAAAAGCAAAAUGAAAUAAUGGCUAAGAUACAAGCAGCCAUUGUCCAGAUUCCAAAACCAAUGCCGCAGCACACUGUCAAGGCGAUCGAAGAACAAAAAAUGCUGAGGAAGAAGAAAGAAGCAGAGAACACAUACACAGAAAUCAUGAAGUUUGAGAAGAUGAUGAGAAAAGAGACCAUCAUACCCACUAAGCUCACUGAAAGCAUGAUACAGGGCCGUGAUGUUGCAACCCCAACGAUCACUGAGCUGUUGAGCACCUACUCUGAUGACGAGUAUAUCCGGAAAGUUCAGAAACGUCUAGAGGAAGACACAUUUGCUCGUGAACAGCGGGAGAAAAGACGCCGGAAGAUGUUAAGAGAACAACUAAUUGCUCAUGAAGCACAAGAAGAGGCAUAUAGAGAGGAGCAGCUCAUCAACAGGCUGAUGAGACAGUCACAGCAGGAGCGAAGAAUUGCUGUGCAGCUGUUGCAUGUGAAGCAUGAGAAAGAAGUGAUGUGGCAGGACAGAAUUUUCAGAGAAAAACAGUUUGAAGAAAGGCGGCUGAAAGAAUUCCAAGAAGCUCUUGACAGAGAAGCGGCUCUUGCAAAACAAGAAAAAAUUGAAUUUGAGGAACAGGCUCACAAGGAAAAACAACUGCAUGCCAAACUUGCUGCUCAGAGAGCCGAGGAACGCUAUAAGAAGCAUUUUGCAAUCUGUUGGGAGGUAGUUGAUCAAAUCAUCGACUUGGUGACCAAAAUAGGAGAGUAUCGGACACUGACAAACAACUUAAUCCCAAUCAAGAUAAUGCGUGACUGGAAGGAGCUAUUCCUAAAAGGGAAACCAAUUUAUGAGCAGGCUGAACUCGAUCCUUUGCCAGCUGAUCCAACUCCAGAUCAAAUAAUAGAAUUUGAAAAAAUGGAUAUACUAGAUGAAAAAGACUAUGAUGAAUACAAGAUUAUGAUUGAAGAAUGGUAUCCACCUGAAGAAAUCAGAGCAAAUAAGCCUCCACCCAGUAAUAUAAUACUAGGUCAUGUGGUUCAUAGAUUGAUGGGAUUGUUCUAUCCUCCAGAGCCUGAGCCGCCUCCACCUGUAUCCUCUCCAUUUCCAAUCAAGGGAUGUAUUUUGGGAAAGCUCUUCAGUGGCAAAACCACAUGUUUAAAGUUCUUGGAAGAAGCUUGCAACAUCCAUGUAUUAUCUAUUGAUACACUAAUCGCAGAGGCUAUCCAAGCUUAUCAUGAAAAGGAAAUGUCAAGUGAAACAAGUCUGCUUCAAGUCUCUAAACUGGAUAUCCCUUCCAUGGAUCAAAUUGCUGUCCUGAAGGAAGCUUCCAGGGCUUCACUGACAGCAUUAAAAGCUUACUAUGACAUAGCAGAGGUGAACUUCAGCUUGACUCCUACAGUAAAAGACUUUGAGAAAAAAGCAGGCUCUGUUCAACUAAGUGACCAAGAGGAGAUGAGUGACCUUGGAGAUGAAUUAACUAAAUUCUCUAUUCGUGCUCAGCUCGGUGGAGGAGCAGAAACAUUGUUAAAGAAAGGAAAAAGUAUUCCAGAUGAAUUACUUGUUGGCAUCAUGGUGGAAGCCAUUAGUCGAUUGCCACCAGAAAAGGGUUGGAUCUUGGAUGGAUUCCCGAUGACACUGAAUCAAGCAAAACUGCUUGAAAAGGCAUUGGGUAGGAGAGAUCCAGACGAGGAAGAAGUAAAUGCUAAAGUCUUGAAGAAGCACAACUUGGUUAUUGAUCCAGCAGCUCCAAAAGAACCAGCUGUUCACCCACCUGGUCUUGACUUUGUCAUUUUGUUGGAUGUUUCAGACUCCAUUGUGCUGGACCGCAUAGCAUUUGGGAGGUCAAAGGACUCCUAUCAAAGCGAACAAGAAAGAGGUGAUCAAGUGUCAGAUGCUGAACUCCAGAGAAGAGAAAAAGCAGAUUCAGUGAGAGGCCAGAUGCAACACAGACUUGUACGUUUCUUGGAAACAUGGCCAGAUCUAAAAACCUGGUAUGCCAAUCAGCAAAAUAUACUAAUAAAAGUCAACGCAGAGAUGGAAGAGAAUCUUAUGUGUCAAAGGGUGAAACAAAUAAUAAUGGAACAACUUGUUAAAAUUGAAAAUGAACGAAAAGAAAAGGAAAAGAUAGAAGCUGAAAAACUACAAGAGGUGAUCCUUCCCAUACCUCAAGAGGCCAUUAGCCCAGAGAAAGUGGAGGAAGUGUCUCCCACUCCUACUGUAGAAAUUCAGCCACCACCCUCUCCUCCAGUAGACACUAAAGAAUCCCCUACAGCAGAGACACCUGUUAAAGGUAAAAAGAAAAAGAAACGUGAUUCAUCCAAAGGAAAAGAAUCAGGAAGUAAACCAGGCACUCCACGUGGAAAAGCACAAAAAUCUUUGUCACCUUCCCCUGAAGAUGUGUUGCCUCCUGCUCCUAUAGAACCACCUCCAAUUAAACCAGGAUCAAAUGAAUGGGUUUAUAUUGAUGAACCACUACCCCAAGAAGUGCCUGAAUUUUUAGUUCCUUAUUGGGAAACUGUGGAGAAGACAUAUGUGAAUAACAUCAAAGCAACACUUAGGUGCCUGAGAGCUGAACAACAUGUUAUAAUUUAUUAUCUUUCAGACAUAAGAAAUCAUUUUAAGGAAUACUUAAAACGCCCUGACCAUAAGCAAGAGUUUGUGACUCAGUGGCAAGCAGAUUAUAACUCAGUGGCUGAUGAUUUAUGGGAUGAUGAUGAAACGAAAGAAGAACUACACCAAAGAGUCACUGAUCUACGAGACCGUCUAUGGGAUAUCUGUGAAAAUAGAAGGAAUGAAGCUGAGCAAGAGCGUUGUGCUAUCAUGAAUGAUGGGUGGUUGCCUGACCGAAUGGUGCUUUUGAUGGACCACAUUUUUUCACUUAUGCAGAAUGAACUGGAUCGCUUCCAGGAUACCAAGAGACUUUUACACGACUAUUACAGAGGAAUGGAAGGCAAAAUUCCAACAGAUAGUAGCACCGAGUUUAUCAGAAUACCCUUGAUAGAAUUAGUUGAAAAAGAACAACUCCUGGAAGCGGGCAAGACCAGCAGAAUCCCAACAAUUGCUCAUAGAUCUCCUUCUCCAGAAGUGAACAGGGAAAGAAUGAGAGCUAUUCCAGUGAAACUCAAAGAAGAUCUGUUUUCUGAAAGUGCCAUAUUUAAUGUUAGUCCAGAUGAGAAACUAAUCAUGGAGACAUGGCACAAUGUUGUAACAGCCAUCACUAACAUGGUUACUUCAGAGAUACAGUCUUUUGAAGCAGAGGAAGAAAAAGAACGCCUUCAGCAAGAAAUGAAGGAAAAAGAGCGUCUAAAAUCUUCCCAAGCCGUUGCUGGCAAAGGUGGAAAAGAAGGGAAAGGAAAAGGAAAAGGUGGAAAAGGAGGCAAGGAAGGAAAAGGAGGAAAGGAAGGGAAAGGUGGAAAAGAAGCCAAAGCAAAGGAGUCCAAAGAUACCAAGAAAGGGAAGAAGAAAAAUAAACAAGGUGUUUCUCCUCCAGUGCCAGAAGCAACACCAAUUCCUUUAUCCCCAGAAGAAUUAAAGAAGUUAGAAAUGAAGCAUAAAAUGAAACAGGAAUACUUUGCUGCACUAGAUCAUGAAGUGGAGGCUGCAAAAUCUCGACUUGAGUUGUUAAAAGUUAAAGCACUAGCCUUCAUGGAGGAUCUACAUUCAAAAGCAGAAGUUACAUACAGGAAUAUGGAAAAGUGGCUUGGAGAAAGAUUUCUGAUUGAAAUGUCCAGUGUUGAGAAAUUAACUGAGGUUGCCCGCAACCACAUUGAAACGUCUACCAGAAUGCAAUAUGAACUUGUUCUGGAAGGUACCGAGUUUUACAUUAAUGGGGAUAUCAAAGUAUUUCCGGAUGCAGUCCCUCCGCCUCGUCCUCCAUCUGUGGAAACUCCUACGGUUGACACUCUGACUAUUUCACAGCUUAGCACACUUCACAAGCAGUUUCUGAAGGUGGCACCUAAAGCCAUAGCAGCGCUGAAGGAAUUGAAAAGAAAGAAUGUCACCUCCAGCAAUCGCAAGGAUUUCAAGAAAAAUCGACAGUUUCAAAAAACAUGGUUGUCUAAAUACCCUUGGCUAAAACAUGACAGUGACAGGGGCACAAUGUACUGUGCUUUAUGUCGGAAACAUAAUGUGGAUUUAGGGGAGAAGACACACAACUUUUGUUCUGGGACUGAUGAUUUCAUAAUUGAAAUAAUUGGUGAACACCAUAGUAGUGAAGCUCAUGCUUGGGCGACCUGUAUGGAAGAAGCUAGUAGUUGUGCCCCAGACACAGCUACCACUGAGCAGAUGCUAAAGAGCAUGAGUAAAACAACCCUAGGAAGAAUAGAAAACCUCUUCAGAACAUGUCAUGCUAUUGCCAAAACUGGGCGCCCCUUCACAGACCUGGACUGGAUAUGCCAACUAGAUGAUAUGAAAGGGGUGGACAUUGGUUCUAUAUUUAGAAAUGACAAAACAGCAAGAAUCUUCAUUCAUUUUAUUGCUGAAGUGGAGCGCAGGACUUUGAAAGAGAAAUUGGAAAAAUGCAAGUUUUUCUCACUCAUUAGCGAUAGCGUUACGGACAGUGCAAACAAAGAAGCUGCCCUGGUAUAUGUACGUUUUGCGAAACAAGGAAAGAUCCACUGCCAAAUUGUUGGAGUUCAGUCUCUGGAAAGAUGUGAUGCUUCCACUGUGAAAAAUGCCAUCAUGAAACUGUUACAGACCAAUUUGCAGCUUAAUCUGCCAAGCCAAGAUUGGGCCAAAAAACUAGUUGGCUUUGGAAGUGAUGGCGGAGACAUUAUGGUGGGACAAAAUAAUGGUGUGGCUAAAUUACUGAAGGAAAUCCAGCCACGUAUUCAGAGUGUGCAUUGUCUUAUGCAUCGCCUUGAAAUAGCUUACAAGACAGCACUCCAGAGCAUCCCACUAUACAUGAUUGUAACAGGUUUCUUGAAAAACAUAUAUUAUUUUUAUCACAACUCUCCACUGAAUAAGAGCAACCUCAAGAUAGUUUAUGAAGCUCUCAAACUACGACAAACAGUUCCUUCUCGAAUUGGUGGCACCCAAUGGCUAUCUCGUUUGCAAACAGGACUUCAAAUCAUUCUUAAAGGAUAUCCAGCAAUUGUCCUACACUUAAAUAAGAUAGAAGAUGAACCAUGUUCUUCAAAUCAACAGAAAGCCAAAGACUUCUUAAAGCUCCUUCUGAGUACAGACGUUAUUAAGUUUUCACACUUCUUGCUGGACGUCAUUAAUGUCCUCAACAUUUUAUCUCGUGUUACUCAGGACCAGAACUCUUCUAUUGCAGACGUGUUUGCAACAUAUCAAUCCACACAGGAUACUCUCCAAAUGUAUCAAGCAAGAUCGGGACCAAGGGAGCGUCAGGUGGAAACUAUCACACACUUUCAUGGAUAUCAGCUUAUAGGAGAUGGCAAUAUAUCAGCAGUACGGAUAGAAUUAUUAAGCAGUCUUUUGAAUCAGCUACUUGAUUGUUUUUGUGAUGCUAGUGAAGCUGUUUUGAGAGCAAGCACUAUUGGAAGUUUUAAGCUGUGGCCAGACAAAAUCAAAUCAGACUUUGGUGAAGUGGAAGUUUCUGUUCUGCUGAAGUAUUAUGAUCUGAUCCUGAAAUGUGCCAAUGUGAAAAUGAAUGACAUUGAAACCGAAUGGAACAUGUUGAAAGUGGAGCUAUAUAAUCGAUAUCGAAACAUACGGAGCUUAAAAUGGGACCUGGUGAACGCAGAAUAUUUUCAUAAAUAUCCAAAUAUCCUCACCCUCAUAGAUUUAGUUCUGACACUGCCAGCAAGUUCCAAUGAAGCAGCUCGAGGUUUCUGUCAAAUGAAGCUUACAAUGAUGCAGAAACAUUCAAAGCAAAUAUUUGAAAGCAUGACUGAUCUCAUGGUUAUUCAGAUGAAUUCUCCAGAUAUCAACAACUUUGAUCCCCAAAAAGCUAUUCAGUUGUGGAAUAUUUAUUGCCAAAGGAAUAGAAAAUUGCAGGCUGCUCAGCCUGAAAGAGUAGAUUAUUCAUCUGACUCUGAAUGGGAAACAGAAAGUUCACUUGGUAGUGAUUAGCCUGCCUUCUAUAAACAGUUUUAGCAAUGUGCAUAGAUUUUUGAAAUUGAUUUGGAAUCACUUCAGUAAACAUAAGUCAGGUUUAAUGCUAAGCAAAACAUUCACUGACAUUUUUUUUGACUUGGUUACAUUGAACCUUGGUUCAAACAGUCUUCCAGAUGCCUGGACGCACCUCUCCAUUUAUGAU